GCCCCUAUAGUUGACAGGUGGACUGUUAUAGAUGCUCCAGAACCACGUCAGUUGAUUUGGACUAAUCUUUCGAUAACGUUUUAUGUGAGAAUAAUCCGGCAGUAUGUUGUGUACGUCGUUGUGUUUUUGACCAUAUUCUUUUACAUGAUCCCGAUUGGGUUCAUCUCGGCAUUAUAACGUUUUAUGUGAGAAUAAUUCGGCAGUAUGUUGUGUACAUUGUUGUGUUUUUGACCAUAUUCUUUUACAUGAUUCCAAUUGGGUUCAUCUCGGCAUUAACAACUCUAGACAAUCUGGUGAAGCUUCUCCCGUUUUUGAAACCGGUUGUGAGUCAGAAGGCAAUCAAGACUGUGCUUGAAGCUUAUUUGCCUCAGCUUGCGCUCAUCAUAUUUUUGGCUUUGUUGCCAAAGUUUCUUAUGUUUCUAUCUUCUCCCGUUUUUGAAACCGGUUGUGAGUCAGAAGGCAAUCAAGACUGUGCUAGAAGCAUAUUUGCCUCAGCUUGCGCUCAUCAUAUUUUU
rnacentral:lncRNA from 1 species